AUCCAAAGCCCAGAUGAUUUACAAACUGGCAGAAUACACUGCUAUGUGCUAACCUUAUCUGAAACUUUAAUAUGCCCUAACUUUCUUCUCUGUUUUUCCCCAGCUCUGUUUGAAUCAUACACAUUUUCUGGCACUCUGAUUUUUUUGCAGAAUCAGGCAGGAGACAGAUGGAUAGUCUGGGAGAUGACUCACUUUCUAAUGAAUUGUGGCAGACAUUGAGUUUGAAAGGUCCAGAGGCUCUCAAGCAGCAGUCCUAAUUACCAUCAGAGAGAACAGCACAGUAUCCUCUGAAAACCAAAACCCAAAUCAUCACUCUUGGUCCCCAGGACCCAUGGAACACAUUCAAGGCAUCCUGUGGUGGUCUGAGGACAGCCAACUGCCUUCUGUUACAGUAACAUCUUGUCUGUUACCUUUGCACUUAGUCAUUUUAAAUAAAACUGCUCCUCAUCCUCCACCAACCCCAACCUCUGGCCCCAAGUCCAGAGCUCCUCAGACUACCACAAGUUGCACAGGUCAUGAAAAGAAAAAAACUGCUAUUAUAUUUGAGGAGGUUUGGGGCAACAACGCU
rnacentral:lncRNA from 1 species